rnacentral:tRNA from 1 species
UGGGGUAUCGCCAAGCGGUAAGGCACCAGACUUUGACUCUGGCAUUCGUAAGUUCAAAUCUUGCUACCCCAGCCA